CCUGAGCUUUAUUAGUAUUCCAGGCAAAGGCCAGACAGGGCCAUAUAACUGAGGUUGAAAGACAAGUUGCAGAGGCAACAGAGCUCCCUGCCGCCGCCGCCCC